rnacentral:rRNA from 1 species
UGGGUAGCUAUGUACGGACGGGAUAACCGCUGAAAGCAUCUAAGCGGGAAGCCCCCCUCAAGAUUAGGUUUCUCUGGACCUAUAAGGUCCCUUAAGGGUCGUCGUAGACUACGACGUUGAUAGGCGGGGUGUGGAAGUGCAGUAAUGUAUUAAGCUAACCCGUACUAAUUGCCCGUGAGGCUUGAUCAUAUAACACCCAAGAAG